GUGAAUCAUCAAAUUUUUGAACGCAAAUUGCGCCUUUUUCGAAAGGGAUGUCUGUUUGAGGGCACCAUUUAACAAAUAAUGUGCAGCGGGUUUUGUUGCACACGUUGAUGAGCUUUCCAAGAAUGUUAAAUUUUUGGUGGCGCAUAAUGAACAGAGGGAAGCUUUUUUUUCAGUUUGAGUGUAGUAAAGGCGUUGUUUGGGUUGGGAAAAGCGUAAUCGCGCAAUGGGUUUGGCAAUUUUUUAUGAUGGC
rnacentral:misc_RNA from 1 species